GAAGCAUCCCCAAAAUAUGGAUCAUUGUACAAUUGAGACAAUUAAAAAUUAAAUUGAUCAAAGAUGGUUAUUCGGAUUCACUGACAGUUCCAUAUUAAUUGUUGUUGAAGUCAAUGGCUGUAAAGAACAAAGGAGCUUUCAAAUUAUCUUCAGCCUUUUGUUAAACAGUGGGUUAUUUUCCUUUUCUAUUUUGAAUCUUAGCGGAGUAGGACUCAAGCGACUUGUGAUAAUGAUUUUAUUUUUUCAGAAGAAAAAAAUUGUUCUUUAAAAACUGCCUUCAGGAGCAAAUAAUUAGAAAGGAACAUAAGGUAAUAAAGAUGAUCUGAGGAAGCACUCUUAAAUGUCAAGUUGGGGAAUAUAUUUUCUUGAAAAGGUUCUGGAGGAAGCUGAAUGGGUAGAGUGCAGCAUUUAAACAUCACUGUUAUUCAAAUGCUAAACAAAAUGGAAACAGUUGAUUGCACAUAGUGGUAAAUUUCUAGAUGAAUUUUUCAGCAUUAUAAAGCAAUGCUUCUGCAGUAAACAAUUACAAGGAAUAUUGCUUAGUAUAGUCCUGCCCUUAUAAGACUUGAAGCUUUUGGUAUUAUCACAAAGAAUGAAACUAUAGUCAUUUUCCUGGGCAUGUGCUCUAUCUUUAUGGAGGUCAAAAGUUGAUCCAUAAGUACAACUAAUAAAUUGAUUCUUAAGGGAAAUGGUAGUUUGUGGAAUUUCCAUCCUUACUCUAAGGAGAUGAUCCAGAGUUAUCUUGGAGAUGUGUUUAUGUGGCAAACUUAGAAAUAUCAUUAAAGAUGGACAGGAGCCAAAUGAAUUAUUUGUGACUUUCUCCUAAAGUACACUGAAGAACAGAAAACAAGCCAAAAAAAGAAAUUCCACCUGUACUUUUUAGCACCAGCUCUUAACAUUAGGGUGUUUUGUUCCAAGCUUAAUCUCCAGGGAGCAGCAGAAUAUUUCAAAGAGACUUUGCUAACUUCAGUCUCUAAAUUUCCUUUAGGUCUUUUUAAAUGAAGUUUUAGGAUGUAUUUGCAUGCAUUAUCUAUAGCUAUAUAAUUUGUCACCUUGCAAAAAUUCCCCAUGAAAGAGUUGCUUCUUCAUCCUUCUCAGUGUGUUUUAAUACUGAGGCCUUUGCAGGAAGUUGGUUGUCAGCUUUCACAGAAGAUCCUAUUAUCACAAUCAAAAGCAUUAGAGGACAAAUUAUUUUCUUUCAGCACUCAACACUUGGAGAAUAUUAGCCUAUUUUCUAGAAGCUGUCAGAUCCCUUUUAAGAGUUUCAAGACCUUUUAUUUUGAAAUUAUAUAUAAAACCCUGGCAAAUAUUAUUGAUAGGAAUGUUCUUUCUCUAUUAAAAACUGACUUGCUGGAAUUGCUUUUAAGUUUUUAACAGAGAAAUUUUAUAAAAAUGUUCAGUUACCAUGCACUCUAUGAAAGAAUUAGAGGUAAUUUUACAUGUAUAUUUAUUUCAAUAACAUCAAUAAGGUAUUUCAUUCAUAGAAGGCCCUAAUACUGAUUUGUGACUAAAUAAAAUAUACUAAGGUCUACAAAACUAUGAAUUAUUUCAUAUGUAUUUUCAUCACUCUUUUAUUAGUAGCUAUCAACAUGGUAUCUAAAAUUAUGUGCCUAGAAAAAAAAAAAGAGUUAGAAAAAAAGGAUUUAUUACCAAAAUAACAUACUUAUGAAGAAUAGUUGCCAAAAUUAAACACUAAUACAUGCAUAUAUUUAAAAAUAGGACAGGAUUAGCCUCUGUAUAUUUCUGUCAUCAAUUGUGUUGGGAAUUGUGCCAAGUUCUUUCUUUGUAUGUGAACAAUUCAUAUUCAAAUACAAAGAACUGCUCCUUAGAAUUCUAGGCCAUAAUUUAUCCCAGUACCUACAAGCAGCACUGUUUAUAAAAGUAGUCCUGUAAAAGGGCUGUUCCUUAUAUUCCAGAGAAGUAAACAUUGGUGUAAUUUUUAAAUUACAGCUAUUGAGGUUCACAGACAGAAAUUGUAAACAUAAGUUUGCCUCACUCGCAUUGCUUCUUAAAGAUUCAUAAUCCUCUAAGCUUCCCUACAUGGUAAGAUAUUUUGUUGGAAUGUGUAGAAAAAGAAAUGUUGGAAAGUUUUAAAAGAAUUUUUAAUUUUUUUCAAAUACUUUCCUUAUAUGACUAUUCAACUUUUAUUUUGAGACAUUGGAAAAUUCUUGAUUUUUUUAAGUUUAUUUUUAUAACAGUAUAGAAGUGGAUACUCUUAAAAAUUAUAUAAACCAUGCUGCCAUUAAUUUAAAAAUACCAAUUAUAAUUGAGUGCUUAUCAUUCAUUAGGCAAUAUUUUGAGUAUUUUGCUUGCAUUAUUUUGUUAAGUAUUGGCCAGUUGUUCACUAAAGAAGCUAUAGAAAAACAACGUAUAAAUCAUAAAGCAUCUACCUGAAUGUACUGGCUGUGUAUCUGAACUUUAGGGUGAUUCUGAUUGUUCCUCAGGCUGUUACAGGGUAUAACAGUAAAUGAUGAACGUAUAUCUAGAUUUUCUGGAAUAGGACUAAAUUCAUAUAUUGUCUGUCAUUUUAAGAUCAUAUUUAACAUGGCAGAAUAUCUCAGCCUUAAAUGCACUGGUCUGAAUUUCUACUUUUUACAGAACAUUUCCAGAAUUAAGGCCAAAAAAGAAGUGACUAUUUUGAGAUAGGAACUAAACUGAGGCUUUUAUUGGUAACUCCCUGUAAACUUAAAGCUUCUUAGGCUCUUUGAGAUCAGUUCAAGGAGUGUUUAGUUAAGUAAAAAGAUGGUAUUUUCUUGAGAAAGAGUUAUUUUAAAUUUAUAUGCUCCAAGGCAAGUUUGUUAUUGAGAUAGACAUUGCUGACUUAUUUUUCCCUUUGAUAACCCAUCUUCGACUCCUCUUUAUUCUGAUUUUCCUUUUUUCCUAGGAAGCACAAAGUUGAAAACUAGGCUUAGUUUUUCUAAAGUAACUUUUGAUUUUUGUCCUAGUGUUUAAUUACUUAUAACUGUACUUCUUUAUGUUUUAUUUCAAAUAACUUUAGAUACAUGAAUAUAAUAAUUUUGAAGCACCAUAUGUGUUUUUAUCACAUAAUUAAAUUUAUUCUUAUGUUAAACAAAUAUUCUCAUCCUUAUUUUGUAUAGGAGAAAGUAAAUAUUCAAAAAUUAAUAAUAUUGCAUAAUAGCAUAGGUAAUAAGUCGACUCACAUUUUAUUUUAAAUGCACUAUGCUUUCUGUUACAUUACACUCCUCUCCACGCUAAUCAAUUAAAAAUAUUUGGAGUUCCUUUUCAUGGCUCAGCAGUGAAUGAAUCUGACUAGCAUCCAUGAGGAUGGAGGUUCGACCCCUGGCCUCGCUUGGUGGGUUAAGGGUCUGGCGUUGCCUGAGCUGUGGUGUAGAUUGCAGACACGGCUCAGAUCCCGCGUUGCUGUGGCUGUGUCUGUGGCAUAGGCCGGCGGCUACAGCUCCGAUUGGACCUCUAGCCUGGGAACCUCCAUG
rnacentral:lncRNA from 1 species